rnacentral:misc_RNA from 1 species
AGUCGUAACAAGGUAUCCGUAGGUGAACCUGCGGAUGGAUCAUUAGCAAAGCAAAUAUAGUUUUGUAAGUAUUGUGAACAGUUUUGAAUGUGGGCAGCAGUUGGGUGUUUUGUUGAUGUAUGUUGAUGUAUGUUGAUGUAUGUUGAUGUAUGUUGAUGUAUGUUGAUGUAUGUCGAUGUAUAUGUCGAUGAAGGCUGGCUGCGCCGGGUUUGUACACGUAUUAUGCGCGACGACUGACGUCUACUUUAGUAGUGUAAAGUACAGACAACUUUUAGCAACGGAUCUCUUGGCUCUC